CCUACGGGAGGCAGCAGUGGGGAAUUUUGGACAAUGGGCGAAAGCCUGAUCCAGCAAUGCCGCGUGAGUGAAGAAGGCCUUCGGGUUGUAAAGCUCUUUUGUCAGGGAAGAAACGGUGAGAGCUAAUAUCUCUUGCUAAUGACGGUACCUGAAGAAUAAGCACCGGCUAACUACGUGCCAGCAGCCGCGGUAAUACGUAGGGUGCAAGCGUUAAUCGGAAUUACUGGGCGUAAAGCGUGCGCAGGCGGUUUUGUAAGUCUGAUGUGAAAUCCCCGGGCUCAACCUGGGAAUUGCAUUGGAGACUGCAAGGCUAGAAUCUGGCAGAGGGGGGUAGAAUUCCACGUGUAGCAGUGAAAUGCGUAGAUAUGUGGAGGAACACCGAUGGCGAAGGCAGCCCCCUGGGUCAAGAUUGACGCUCAUGCACGAAAGCGUGGGGAGCAAACAGGAUUAGAUACCCUGGUAGUCCACGCCCUAAACGAUGUCUACUAGUUGUCGGGUCUUAAUUGACUUGGUAACGCAGCUAACGCGUGAAGUAGACCGCCUGGGGAGUACGGUCGCAAGAUUAAAACUCAAAUGAAAUUGACGG
rnacentral:rRNA from 1 species